UACCAGCACCCCGAGUGUUCGGGACGAUUAUUGGGCCUAAAGCAUCCGUAGCCGGUCUUACAAGUCCUCCGUUAAAUCCAACUGCUUAACAGAUGGGCCGCGGAGGAUACUAUAAGACUAGGAGGCAGGAGAGGCAAGCGGUACUCAGUGGGUAGGGGUAAAAUCCGUUGAUCCAUUGAAGAACACCAGUGGCGAAGGCGGCUUGCCAGAAUGCGCUCGACGGUGAGGGAUGAAAGCGGGGGGAGCAAACCGG
rnacentral:rRNA from 1 species